rnacentral:rRNA from 1 species
AAGUCGUAACAAGGUUUGUUAAGAUGGUUCUCGGAAGCCUUUCACGCAACGACGUUAAACCAUGCGUGCAGUCUGGAAACAGGCAACGUCAUCCCGUUGCUGGAAGGUUGUGACUUGAUACAACCUACCAGCAGCCAGGCACUUCUGGUUCACUGAUUAGGUGAUGGCG